CCCGAGACUCAGUGAAAUUGAACUCGCUGUGAAGAUGCAGUGUACCCGCGGCAAGACGGAAAGACCCCGUGAACCUUUACUAUAGCUUGACACUGAACAUUGAGCCUUGAUGUGUAGGAUAGGUGGGAGGCUUUGAAGCGUGGACGCCAGUCUGCGUGGAGCCAACCUUGAAAUACCACCCUUUAAUGUUUGAUGUUCUAACGUUGGCCCCU
rnacentral:rRNA from 1 species